AACGAACGCUGGCGGCGUGCUUAACACAUGCAAGUCGAACGAGAAAAUGUAGCAAUACAUGAGUAAAGUGGCGCACGGGUCCGUAACACGUGGGUAAUCUACCCUUAGGCGAGGGACAACCUGUCGAAAGACGGGCUAAUACCUCGUAAGACCGCGGAAUCUUAGGAUUCUGAGGUAAAAGGUGGCCUCUAUUUAUAAGCUAUCACCUGAGGAUGAGCCUGCGCACCAUCAGCUUGUUGGUGAGGUAAAAGCUCACCAAGGCCUAGACGGUUAUCUGGUUUGAGAGGACGACCAGCAACACUGGAACUGAGACACGGUCCAGACGCCUGCGGGAAGCAGCAGUGGGGAAUUUUUGACAAUGGGCGAAAGCCUGAUCCCGCAACGCCGCGUGAGUGAUGAAGGCCUUCGGGUUGUAAAGCUCUGUCGGAGGGAACGAAUAAAGGCCACCUAAUACGUGGCCAUAUGACGGUACUCUCAAAGGAAGCAACGGCUAACUCUGUGCCAGCAGCCGCAGUAACAC
rnacentral:rRNA from 1 species